AUCUAUCAGAUCCAAGAGUGGGAACGAGGGAAGCAUGAAUGAUUGGAUUAGCUGGUCGGCCUCCGUGCACUUUUGCAGUAUCAGCAAUGUGCAGUUGCUGCAGCCCUGCCUCGGACCUGGGCGUGCACAUGGACACACAGACACGCUCAUUCACAGGCUCGGGAGGAGACCCUUCCAUGUCAUUCAGCCGAGAGGGCCACAGACUCAUAGACAAGAGGAGGGCUUCACCAAGGCCGGACACAGACAGAGGAAAACUUGCAGGACUUGUGAACGACAGCGGAAGCUGCAAAGUGUGGCGGAGAUCUCUGUCCUGCUGUUUAAGAAGUGGGCCUCCGAGGGUCUGAGCCUAGCCACCUAGAGGAAAGUGGUCUGGCCAUCAUAGAGUUCCUCAGGCCACAUCUCAUCAGCACUUACCUUCUCGUACAUAAAUAUCGGGCAGUGGAAUCGGAGCAUGUGUCCCCUGACUGGAAGCAGUGACAACCACGGCAGCAGGUUUAUUUUUAAAUAAAGAUUGGAAAGUUAUAAGGCUCCUGAGGUUU
rnacentral:lncRNA from 1 species